rnacentral:tRNA from 1 species
GGAAUGUAGCUCAGUGGUAUAGCGCAUGUUAAGCAUGCAUGAGGCCCUGGGUUCAAACCCCAGCACCG